AACGAACGCUGGCGGCAGGCCUAACACAUGCAAGUCGAACGCUGUAGCAAUACAGAGUGGCAGACGGGUGAGUAACACGUGGGAAUCUUCCUAUCGGUACGGAAUAGCUCAGGGAAACUUGAGGUAAUACCGCAUACGCCCUUCGGGGGAAAGAUUUAUCGCCGAUAGAUGAGCCCGCGUCUGAUUAGCUAGUUGGUGAGGUAAUGGCUCACCAAGGCGACGAUCAGUAGCUGGUCUGAGAGGAUGACCAGCCACACUGGGACUGAGACACGGCCCAGACUCCUACGGGAGGCAGCAGUGGGGAAUAUUGGACAAUGGGCGCAAGCUUGAUCCAGCCAUGCCGCGUGAGUGACGAAGGUCUUCGGAUUGUAAAGCUCUUUUGCCAGGGACGAUAAUGACGGUACCUGGAGAAUAAGCCCCGGCUAACUUCGUGCCAGCCGCCGCGGUAAAAC
rnacentral:rRNA from 1 species